rnacentral:rRNA from 1 species
GAUGAACGCUGGCGGCGUGCCUAAUACAUGCAAGUCGAGCGAAUGGAUUAAGAGCUUGCUCUUAUGAAGUUAGCGGCGGACGGGUGAGUAACACGUGGGUAACCUGCCCAUAAGACUGGGAUAACUCCGGGAAACCGGGGCUAAUACCGGAUAACAUUUUGAACCGCAUGGUUCGAAAUUGAAAGGCGGCUUCGGCUGUCACUUAUGGAUGGACCCGCGUCGCAUUAGCUAGUUGGUGAGGUAACGGCUCACCAAGGCAACGAUGCGUAGCUGACCUGGGGGGGUGCUCGGCCACACUGGGACUGAGACACGGCCCAGACUCCUACGGGAGGCAGCAGUAGGGAAUCUUCCGCAAUGGACGAAAGUCUGACGGAGCAACGCCGCGUGAGUGAUGAAGGCUUUCGGGUCGUAAAACUCUGUUGUUAGGGAAGAACAAGUGCUAGUUGAAUAAGCUGGCACCUUGACGGUACCUAACCAGAAAGCCACGGCUAACUACGUGCCAGCCGCCGCCGUAA